GAUGAACGCUAGCGGCAGGCUUAAUACAUGCAAGUCGAGGGGCAGCAGCUUUGUAGCGAUACAGGGGCUGGCGACCGGCAAACGGGUGCGGAACACGUACGCAACCUUCCUUUAACUGGAAGAUAGCCCACCGAAAGGUGGAUUAAUACUCCAUAACAUAUUGAAGAGGCAUCUCUUUGAUAUUAAAGCUCCGGCGGUUAAAGAUGGGCGUGCGUCUGAUUAGGUAGUUGGCGGGGUAACGGCCCACCAAGCCUUCGAUCAGUAGCUGAUGUGAGAGCAUGAUCAGCCACACGGGCACUGAGACACGGGCCCGACUCCUACGGGAGGCAGCAGUAAGGAAUAUUGGUCAAUGGACGCAAGUCUGAACCAGCCAUGCCGCGUGGAGGAUGAAGGCCCUCUGGGUUGUAAACUUCUUUUCUUUGGGACGAAACCCCUGUUUCUACGGGGACUUACGGUACCAGAGGAAUAAGCACCGGCUAACUCCGUGCCAGCCGCCGCAGUAAAAC
rnacentral:rRNA from 1 species